AUGUUGGUGGCGAUUAUUUGUUUUUGUGCUGUUUUGGUGCCCGGGUAUCAAUAUUUGGCAGAUGGUGCUUGGUGGGCUAUUUGUUUAGAGAUCAUCUUUGGUGCAGUAAUCGUCCUUUGCUUUUUGACUCUGAUAGCCCAUGAAAAGAACGACGCCUUCCUCACGUUUCAGAUUCCCUUUGUACCGCUCAUCCCCUGUCUCAGCAUCUUCUGUAACAUAACUCUGAUGAUGAAACUCAACUAUCUAACUUGGAUACGGUUAGCCAUCUGGCUGGCUCUCGGGUUGAUCCUGUACUUUGCUUACGGGGUGUGGAAUAGUCGGGAGAGGCAGACGUCACAGUACGGGGAAAUCGUGGGAUACACUGGGGACGCCAGCGUCUCGUGCAGUACCAUCAGUAAAAUGGAGGAGGAGGUCGUAGAACCGCAGCCUAAACGCGCCGAAGGCGAACAGGUUCACCUAGGCGCCGGCAUGGACGGAUUUUGAUUAUACUUCUAUUUUUUAUAUCAUGACUUACAAAUGGGCAUUUUUGGUACCAGUGUCAAUAACCGAUGAAAAAAUUAGAUGAAAUGCACUGAUGACCAUUAUCAGUCAGUGCACAGGCAUAGAAUGGAUCAUCUGCAAGAUUAACAAGGGAGACAAUUGCAAUAUAUAACGAUCCAUUCAAGAAUGUUUGCGGUCUGGAAAAUCUGAGUUUGGGGGUUGUUAAUGUUGUUUAAUAGAUAGAAGUUAAUUCAUUUUUAAUUUUAAUGGUGUUUUUGUUGAACAGCUGAAAGCUACUCCGAAAAAAUCUUCGCCAAAUAUUGUGGCAACCUCUCUGACUGACAUGCGUCCUGAUAGGCGUGAGGGCUCUAGCACCUUAACAUAUAACUGAUACAUGUACUAGUGUCUGUUGUGUUAUUGGCAUCUUCGCUAGCCAAGGGUUUCUGAUCCGCACCCUUGGCUAGCGAAGAUCGAUGUGUUAUUGGCUUAAAAUAAAAUAUUGAGGGAAAUUGUUAAUACUAUGAUACAUUAUAAAAAGAUAAGAUGUGGCAAAUGACUUAACUAUUAUCUAUCGGAUCACUUCGCUCUUUGCCUUGGGAAUAAAAUUGAAUAUGUAUACAGUACCGAGGGUGAUCCGAAUAGCAAGCGCAAACCGUAUACGAUAAACUAGUAUUUUAGUGGCGCUAACAUGGUAGAUAUACUAGUAUAUAGAUUGUAGAUGCUAGUCAUAGAUUAUACAAUAUACAUUAAAUUAUAUAUAUUUUCGUGUAUUGGUUUUAGAAUGCGUCUUUUUGGGGGUGUUACAUAAUAAGUAGUACAUAUCGUUUGUAGAUGUUAGGUUUUGUCAUUAUGAAUCCUAUUUUUAUAUUAUUUCGUCUGACGUUAAACUCGUGAUUAUCGCCAAAAUGUUAUUGUUGUUAAUUUAUUCCAAAUAUAUAUGUAUAAUUAUUAACACUGUUGUUCUGAAUAAAAAUAUCUUAACCAUCC
rnacentral:misc_RNA from 1 species